rnacentral:tRNA from 1 species
GCCUUCGUGGUGUAAUUGGAAGCACAUCCGCUUAGUAUCGGGCAGUCUGGAGUUCGAAUCUCUCCGAAGGCA